CAUCCUGUAAAGACUUGAUGCCCCAGGGAAGAAGGCUGAUGCAGGUGUGAGAGGUUGAAAGUAGAUCUCUGUCACUGAAAACACCAUGAACUUUGGACACUAGACCUGGAGAACCUGAGUGGGUCUGACUCAAAGCCUCUUUCCUAAGGACUAACCUUCAUGGGAGGUGAUCCGAUAGCCUCCAAGGUGUGACUUGCUUACAUAUCCAUGACUUGUGGGCACACACUUCACAUCUAGAGAAGCAAAUCCAGGGCCUUGGUACUGUUGAUUAAAAUCUGUAUCUGCACUACAGCUCUUGUAUUCAUUAUACUUGCAAUGAGCGAGGGAAGCUGACUCACAAGCCCU
rnacentral:sRNA from 1 species